GCGCGCCGCCUCCCUCCCGCCUGCAGCCCCACCUCCGCUCCCUACCACGUCCCCGAGCCUGGAUUAAAAAGCCCUGGGGCUGCAGAGGCGGGCGAGGACAAAGGGUUGAUAAACCAGAACGGGGCAGAUCAUGCUGUAGCUGCUGCCUGGGAACCACACUUCGAGAACCACUGAAUUAGAACUCUCAUCCACUGUAUUCAGUAAAGCAUCAGUCAAAAGACCAGAAAUUCUGCAGAUAAAUGAAAAAACCCAUCAGUGAAGAACUACUUAGAAAACUGCUGACUUCAGAGAACUGUAUCACUAUUUGGAACAAGAUUCCUAAGUAUUACUAGGGUCAGGAUCUUUUGCACUAUCUCUAUUUCGAUCUCUAGAUUUGGGGGCCCUAGGAAGUAGCUCUUGGAACCGUAGCCACUUUCGUAUUGUGUUCCCUUCAUUGCAGUGUUUCUAAGAACCAUUACUGGGCUAGGAGGGAGUUUCCAAGAGAAAGAUGUGGAAAAUCCCCAUGUCUCAAACCAGUUGUGUUAGGUUUCAUUGCUCUAGUUGUGAUAUUGGAAAUGGCUGUUCUAAUUACUAAAAAUUAUGCCAGGAAAAAAAGUGAUUCCGAGAGACGAGAAAAAUGCAAGAAUAUCAAGUCAAGCCAGUUAGUCAAGCCACAACCAUGAUUUAUUUCACUGCGCUGCUCGGAAAUCUUUAAGAUGCUAGGAAGCAAUCGUGCUUUGCGUUAAAUACUAACACAGCAUUUCCAAACACUGUUUUAAAACCAAGAGAUUUCCAGUUCAACUGCACAUUGCAGUAAUACGGGUAUCAGCAGAAUCUAUCUUAAAAUAGUAAAUAUUAGAGUCUUUCAAAUUAAGUUAUUAAAUACCCAUAGCAGUUUAAGUGAAAUUUAAAGUACAUGUUAAAUCAGUCAGCCAGUAAGCAAGAAUUUAUGCAAACUCAUUAUGUCUUUUUUCUGUCUUCAGGCAGCUUUGUUUAUUGAAAGGGGAGAAAAUGUGCAUGCUACAAUUAGAAUGAUUAGUAAGUUAAAUGGUAUUGACUUAAAUUCAAUAGCAGUGCAGAAAAAGUUGAAAUUAGUAUGUAUGGGCUGACGUAGCUGAAGGGGGCGAGAGGCACUUGAGAUGGGUCUUAGGAUGGAUGAAACAGAAGAAGGGAGUACAGAAAAAGAAAAUAGAAUCAUCAGAAGUCUUGGGAGCUGAGUUAAAUACAGUGCUAGCCUGUAGGUAAAGAGAGAUGUUGGGGAUUUUGUGGGACAUUUGAAUGUCCAGGUUUAUCUACUGUAUACAUCUUAUUCUCUAUAACCGCUCAAAGACCAUGUAUGAAGGGUGAGCUGUAAGCUAGACACUGUGCUGUGGCGUUACAUCGGCCUUGGCGACUAGAAACUGGUUAGUGUUUGGCCAAUGCAAAAGAACUGGGACUUAAUGUUAUGGACUUGAGCAGAGCAGAGGCAUGAUGAAAACUUUAUUUUAGGAAGUUAGCUAGGCAACAGGAUGGGUUAGAGUUUCAGGCAGAGAUUUUGGGAUGAUUAUAGGAAGACCUGUUAAAAAGCCACUGCAUUUAUUCCUGUGUCGGGUAACAAAGGUCCACUGUAGACAUAUAAAGAAAGUGGUAAAUAUGAGAACCGUUUUUGAAGGAAUGAACAGCAGGACUCGGUAAUACAUAUGCAGAGGAUAAAAGAGAGAGAAUGAUUAAAGAUGGAGAUAAGAUUUUCGGUGUGAAAGACUGUUAGAAAAAAAUGGUCUAAAUAAGCAGAAAUGUGAGAGUUAAGGAGUUCAUUUGCAAAAAGAUGAUGGAAAACUUGAUUUGAGAUAUGCAGAGUUUAGGUGCCCGAGAAAACGAAGUGGAACGCUUCUGCAGUCAAAGCACAGGUGGGAGAGGGGCCGAGUUUCCAGAAUGAGAGGGAUGGUCGACACCGUUAAGAGCUGGAGUGAGUUCAGCGUGAGAGAAAAGGCUGGCCGGAUCGUUUUCAAGCUUGUUCAGAAAUGUCGCUUCACCAUACUUUCACAUUCCAUUUCAGGUUUUUGAAACCUAAAACUUGAACCACGCCAUGAAGCCUUAGACGCUUACGCCUCUAAAAAUCCUGUGUACCAGUUCCAAAACAUUCAUAGUAAAGAUCCAUCAUUGUCCACUACCGGUAGGGUGAAGCCCAAAACCCUUAGCCUGGAAUUUCAUUAUCUCUACAAAACAAUUCUCAUCUGUUUUUCAGCUUCAUCUCACACCUCUUCCCCAACCCAAUGGCGACAGGGUAGAUUUCGGGGUACAAAUGUGUUUCGUGACCUGCGUGCCCCUGCCUCCCUCUUUUCUAAUCUGAUGGUCAGGCCCUUUAGCAUUAUAUUGACUCAAGAGUUUUUACAGAGCAAAGAGCAGAGACCAAAGUCAAAUGCAUUCCCUGACUUAUAAAAUUCUAAAUCCACUGAGAAGAUUAAGCCAGGUGUCCCAGUGGGAAGAGGAGAGAGAGAACUAUCUUUGAGGUCAGUAAGAGAGGAGAAGGAGAGAUUUCACUCACAGAGUUGGGGGGGGGGGGGUCAAAGAAUAACCAGGACCCACCUCCAUUCCUGUCAGUGCCCUGGGAAGCAGCAAAACCUGGGGGAGGAGAGGGCAGGAAAAGGCAAUGGGUGACUUGGAGAGGCGGGACUGUAAGUCUAUGAGUUCUGGCUCCAUGAAAGAGUCCGGUAGAGCAAGCUGUUAGGGAUGGUAGAACCAUGCUUGCCGGGGUACGGCGCCUAGCGGUGGACCAGUGAUCAGAGCAAUUUCCUCGACUCUUUGGCACCUGGUAAAACCUAGGGACCUUCACCUUCACAUAACUGAGAGAGCAGGGAGGAAGAAGUACCAAAUGGAUGAAACUGAAUUCUAGCCUGAUUAGGACAGGAAUUCUGGGUAACAUUAACUGACCUAAAGGAAGCAAAGAAAUGUGAUGUCUCCUGUAUAACUGAAUUUGUGAACUGAGUCAUACCCACUACGAACCUUUUGUAUGUGUUCAUUGAGGCCCAGUCCUAGACACUUUCCACCUCUUUUUAUUUCAAUGUCAUCUCAUCCUUUCUCAUCUUUAGACCAGUAGCUUCCCAUUUAUAGCUACAUCCCAAAAUUCUCUGAGUUCAGUUCUCCAGUAGCCGACUUCCUAUUUGUAUCUGCAUAUGUCAGAGACAUCUCAAAAUCACCACAGGAAAGACUGAACUCUUGAUUGCCAUCCUCUCCUGACCUAUAAUGCCCCCAUCCUUCUUCCUAAUUCUCUAUUAGGGGUCAGCAAAUGAUGAACUGUGGGCUAAAGCCAGCCCCCCACCUGUUUUUGUAAAUAAAGUUUUAUUGGAACACA